ensembl:snRNA U6 U6 spliceosomal RNA
AUUUUUCCACAACACAUAUACUAAAACUGGAUUUAUAAGGAAAAGAUCAGCAUGGCCCCUCCAUAAGAAUUACACACAAAUUCUUGAAGUGUUUCAUAUUUUU